AUGGACUGCUGCUGCCGUGCGCGUCGCCCGGAGCUAGGGCUUGCCUUAUUUGGCCGCUUCCUCAGGAAGGGCCUCAAGACAGACCAGACCGGCGCCAGCACCUUCCUCAAGUGCCUCUGCUACGCAAAACGGACGGAUGAGGCAGUGGACGUUUUGCUUCAUAGGAUGUCCGAGCUUGGGUGUGUGCCUGAUGCCAUCUCAUACAACACUGUUCUGAAGAGCUUAUGCGACAAUGGCAUGAGCCAGCGGGGGCUCGAACUGCUCCAGCUGGUGGCGGGAAAAGGAGGUGGCUGCUUCCCUGAUGUGGUGGCGUAUAGCACGGUCAUCCAUGGCUUUUUUCAGGAGGGUGAAGCAGGGAAGGCAUGCAGUCUAUUCCAUGAAAUGAUGCAGCAAGGGAUUGUGCCCAGUGUGGUGACAUAUAGCUCGAUCAUUGAUGCGUUGUGCAAGGCCAGAGCAAUGGACAGGGCAGAGCUAGUCCUUCGGCAGAUGGUUGCUAAUGGUGCUCAACCCGAUACAGUGACAUAUAAUUGCAUGAUCAAUGGAUAUGCCACAUCUGGGCGGUUGAAAGAGUCUGCUAAAAUGUUCAGAGAAAUGAAAAGCCGGGGUCUUAUGCCAGAUAUUGUUACUUGCAACUCCUUCCUGUCCUCCCUUUGCAAGCAUGGAAGAAGCAAAGAAGCUGCAGAAUUUUUUGAUUCCAUGACCGCCAAGGGCCACAAACCGGAUAUCGUCUCAUACCGUAUUUUGCUUCAUGGCCGACUGCGUGUUUUCAACAUAUUAAUCGAUGCGUAUGCUAAACAUGGAAUGACGGAUGAAGCUAUGCUCAUAUUUACGGAAAUGCGGGAAAAAGGAGUAGGUCCCGAUGCGUUCACCUAUUCCACUGUAAUAGCCGCACUUUCCAGAAUGGGUAGGUUGACCGAUGCUAUGGGCAAGUUAAGUCAGAUGAUUGCCAUGGGAGUUCAACCGGACACAGCUGUUUAUCACUCCCUGAUUCAGGGUUGUUGUAUACAUGGUGAUUUGGUUAAAGCCAAGGAGCUGGUUUCUGAAAUGAUGAACAAAGGUAUUCCUCGUCCUAGCAUUGCGUUCUUCAGUUCAGUGAUAAACUAUUUAUGCAAAGAAGGCAGGGUUAUGGAUGCACAUGAUAUCUUUGACCUUGUUAUAGACAUGGGUGAGAGGCCUGAUGUCAUUACAUUUAAUUCACUGAUUGACGGAUAUUGCUUAGUUGAUAAGAUGGAUAAAGCACUCAGAGUGCUUGAUUCCAUGGUAUCAUUUGGCAUUGAGCCUAAUGUGGUUACAUAUAAUACACUUGUUAAUGGCUACUGUACAAACGGAAGGAUCGAUGAUGGUUUGACCCUGUUUAGAGAAAUGCCGCAUAAGAGAAUUAAACCUGACACUGUAACAUAUGGCAUCAUACUGGAUGGGUUGUUUCGUUCUGGGAGCACUGUUGCUGCUAGGAAAAUGUUCCAUGAGAUGACGGAAAGUGGAAUAACAGUGAGUAUUUCCACAUACAGUAUAAUACUUGGAGGUCUUUGUAGAAAUAAUUGUGCAGACGAAGCUAUCACCCUGUUCCAGAAAUUAGGAACAAUGAAUGUGAAGUUUGAUAUUGCAAUACUCAAUACCAUGAUUAAUGCAAUGUACAAGGUUGGGAGAAGAGAAGAAGCUAAGGAUUUGUUUGCUGCAAUAUCACCCAGUAGCUUGGUGCCCAAUGAAUCUACUUAUGCAGUAAUGAUAAAAAUUCUUCUAAAAGACAGAGCAGUGGAAGAUGCUGACAAUAUGUUUUCAUCAAUGGACAACAGUGGUAUCGUUCCCAGUUCCCGUCUUAUAAAUGAUAUCAUCAGAAUGUUGUUGGAAAAAGGUGAGAUAGCCAAGGCUGGAAAUUAUUUGUCUAAAGUUGAUGGGAAGAGUAUCUCACUUGAAGCUUCAACUGCCUCAUUGAUGUUGUCUCUCUUUUCAAGGAAAGGGAAACAUCAGGAGGAUAUUAAGUUGCUCCCUGCAAAGUAUCAAUUUUUUGAUGGAUUUGGUUGA
rnacentral:rRNA from 1 species